rnacentral:rRNA from 1 species
AUUGAACGCUGGCGGCAUGCUUUACACAUGCAAGUCGAACGGUAACAGGCCUUCGGGUGCUGACGAGUGGCGAACGGGUGAGUAAUGCAUCGGAACGUACCCAGAGGUGGGGGAUAACGCAGCGAAAGCUGUGCUAAUACCGCAUGUGAUCUGAGGAUGAAAGCGGGGGACCGAGCAGCAAUGUUUGGCCUCGCGCCUUUGGAGCGGCCGAUGUCGGAUUAGCUAGUUGGUGGGGUAAAGGCCUACCAAGGCGACGAUCCGUAGCUGGUCCGAGAGGACGACCAGCCACACUGGGACUGAGACACGGCCCAGACUCCUACGGGAGGCAGCAGUGGGGAAUUUUGGACAAUGGGCGCAAGCCUGAUCCAGCAAUGCCGCGUGCGGGAAGGAGGCCUUCGGGUUGUAAACCGCUUUUGGCAGGAACGAAACGGUGUCCGCUAAUACCGGGCGCUAAUGACGGUACCUGCAGAAUAAGCACCGGCUAACUACGUG